rnacentral:misc_RNA from 1 species
GAUGAAGAACGUAGCGAAAUGCGAUAAGUAGUGUGAAUUGCAGAAUUCAGUGAAUCAUCGAAUCUUUGAACGCACAUUGCGCCCUUUGGUAUUCCUUAGGGCAUGCCUGUUCGAGCGUCAUUUAAACCUUCAAGCCCUGCUUGGUGUUGGGUGCCUGUCCCGCCUCCGCGCGUGGACUCACCUCAAAUCCAUUGGCGGCCCCCGCACGGCCACGAGCGCAGCAGAAACGCAAACUCGUGCCCCGACCGGGCGGCGCCCAGAAGCUACACUCACCAUUUUGACCUCGGAUCAGGUAGGGAUACCCGCUGAACUUAAGCAUAUCAAUAAGCGGAGGA